rfam:Dehalobacter sp. CF, complete genome.
ACACGAUUAAUAGAGCAGGCGAUACACUUUUCAAAGUGUGUGGGGCUGGGCCGGCGUAAGAGUUGGCAGCAGGAUAAAAUACCUGUGGGACUAUA